AGCAAAGUAAAGACAGAUAGAGCUUUUUGCUUUCACAUAUAUACAUGUUCCUGGGUUCUGGAUGGUUAGUUUAUUACAGUUAUUCACAACUGAAAAAACAAUUUGGAUAUGCCUUCCUCCUACUUUCCCCCAUAGUAGGAUUCCGAGGGCUAAUAUCUCCAUCACAAUAUACAGAGCCCAGUUGGUAAAUUUGGUAAUUUUUUAAAUUGAAACCAACAAGGUUGGGUCCUCUCAUUUAUCAAAAUAACAAUAAUACACAAGAAAUAACAAAUAAUAAUUUUCAAAAAAGCCCAAAAACAAUCAACACUCCGGACAUAGUGGGCAGUAAUCUGAUGCCCGUGUGCCACGUUGUGAAUGAAAAUAUUCAAUAGAAGUCUUUUGAGUUGGUCAUCCUGAAUUCAGUCACAAAUUUUUUAUUUAAAAAAGAAAUUUUCAUUUAAAAAACAAUAAAUAAAUAUAUAGAGAGAGGUCCAAUCCAUAUUCAAAUAUACAAAAUUUAAAAAAAUAAAAAAAAUAAGUCCCUUUACUUUCGCGUAUUUUCUUUAUCCAAUUUUCUUUUUCUCUGAUAGAAGAUUUCCAAUCUAUAAGGCUAUAUCCAUCUGAUCAAAUCAUUCUUGAAAUUUGACAUCUAACAGAAGUCUAGAAUGCUAAGAUCUCUAAGACAAUACAGUUCUGAACUCCCACAAAACCACAGAACUCUUGCAUUUCAGCAUUCCAUAAAACUUUAAAACUUUGAAGUCUUUACUUCUCAGCAAGUUUCACCAAUGUCCAUCUAAAUUAUAAGACUUUAAAGUCUAUCCAAAUUAUAAGACUAUAAAACUUUGACGUCUUUCACUUCUCGCAAGUUUCACCAACGUCUAUCCAAAUUAUAAGACCACAAACGUCUAUCCAAAUUAUAAGACCACAAAACUUUGACAUCUUUCACUUGUCACAAGUUUCACCAACGUCUAUCCAAAUUAUGAGACUUUUCCAUCUCAUAAAACUCUACAACUUUAUCAGAUGUGAAAAACUUCAUAAAUUUAAUGAGACAAUAGGCUUUGCAAAGUUUUAUGAGCAGUGGAAUUUGUAAGAAAUUCCCCAAAAAUAUUACAAUAUUAUAGUAGCCACAAUGCCAGCGUUCCAUCUGCUCCCCUCCAGCAUAAAGAGAAGAAAUUCUCAACUUUCUCCACAUCAAUCUCCUAAUGGUUAGAUAUCAAACUCUAUUUUUAAAGACCAUCACUCACUUCUACAUGAUUUUAAAAGACAAAAUGGAAUGAUUCUCGUGGCAUAAAAACACCCUCUUUAACUCCUUUCUUUCUUUCUUUUUUCUUUUCUUUUUUUCUUUUUUUUUUUUUUUUUUUGUGCCUCCAAGUUAAUGGGCAUUCUUUAAAAACUGCCAAGGAUUCUAUUUCAGCCAAGGCAACCCUUUGAUGUAGCUUUGACCCAUAUCACCAGAAUUCUGAGAACAGAUCGCUUGGUGAAUAUUACAUGGUUCAGGAGCAUCACAAUCCCUACCUCAACUGCAGGGUAUGGAUAAAUAUUCAUGUAGAAUUCCAAUGGAAGAAUGCUGAAAGUUUAAGAACCACAUUCAAUAAUAUGAUAUCUUUUGCAUGAAACUCCGAGAAGUAUAUGAUCUUAUAAUCUGAAAAUUCCUUAUUUUAGAGUAUUGGCUUGAUCUGAUGAAAUGAGAUACUAUCUACCACAUUACCAUGGGGCCCAAUUAUAGAAUGCAGUCUGAAAAGUCUUUAGAUCUGAUAGUUUGCUAAUUAUUAUGAUAAAAAGGGUUUCAGAAAUCCUGGUAUCGUGGCCCAAGCAAUCAUAGUAUCCCGAUUCCAAAAAAAGCCAAAAGACACAUUUGUAUGUUAUUAAUUGUUCUGGACAAUUGUCGUGUGAAAAAAUAAUUUGUAACUGAACCAUUGCUAACUCUUUCCAGGAGAAAAGGAGUUCAAUGAGUCAUUUCAAUACUAUUCACCAAAAUAAUGGGAAAAGGACAAGAAAGGAAAAGAAAAGAAAUUUCAGCUUCUCAGUUUUCUGGGAAGCAAUUGAAUCUGCCUCCAUGUAUAUGUUGCCAAGUAUGCAAAGGUUUUCCCUCUUUUUCAUUAAAUUUCAAAAAGUUUCUUAAAAUGGUAUUUUAAUUUCUAUCAUUUUUCUACACUGAAAUGUGUUCAAAAACAGCAAGGAAACCAAUCAACAAGCACUAAAAACAAAUGUACCUGGUGGUGCCUGCCAUGGGAUCUGAACCUUCUUGCACUUCUCAAAUAAAGUUUCCAUUAGCUCCAACUUUGGCUGUGGCGAGGCUUCCACUUUAUUAGAAGCUCUGGGAGGAAGUGUCACAGGUUUCUUGUUUUCCUCAAUUUUAGGCCGACCAUGAGCUUUGGACACUGAAAGUAAAGUACUUGUUUGUGAAGAGGAAGAUUUGCUACUAGGGCCUUCACUAUUUGCUUCAUGCUUGUCCUUAGAAGAUGAACCUAUUUUUCCAUAUUUGCUCUGCAUGAAUUGCGCACGCAUUUUUGCUUUCUGUAUAUCAUCAGCUGACAUGGGGCGGCCAUGACUCACAGGGACUGCUCUUCCAGGCUGCAGGAUCCUGCCUGCUGUUUUUUGGCCUGGCUGUUCUACUAGCUGAACCUUUCUGCGUUCUCUGGUUUCUGUAGCUAGCUAAGGCAAUGAAUUCCAAAUUCUUCCAUACACAUAACAGAGAAUGAAGAGUUGCAUAUGCAUCAUUCAGAAAUCUAUUAAACUAUCUAGACAUAAGAGCAGAGUGAAACUGCAGAAUUUCUAAGAGAUAUACAAGUCCAGUUGGAACUGGGAAUCUUAGAGAACUAGGAAUUUAAAAUUUUCACAUGUAUUCUUAAGCAUCAAAUUUAAAAUAAAUUAAAAAAAUGCUAUGUUUCAUAAGGGACCUUUCAAUUCCACUGGAAAUAACAUUUCCAAAUUUCACCCUUCAGACCUGGUAAAGAAUUGGGAUAGGGAUGUAGGAGAUCCCAGGUUUGAAUCCUGGCAAGGAAGAAAAAAAAAUUGUUGCCAAUCAAAAACUUGGAAAAAGGGAAAAAAAAGGUAAAAAAAAUAUUACCAAAUUUGCUGAAUUAUCCUAGUAGUCAGCUGUAGGACUUAGAACUUUCAUUGAAAAUUGCCUAAUUACCCCUAGUAAUCAGAAUUAUGACCUAGAUGUCACAACUUGCUCCAAAUGACCCUCCCUUAAGCUUAUAUAGGGAGUAGGAAGCUUUUGGAAGCUUCUAGAACCCCCUGAAGCAAUCUACGUUUAACUACUAGUGAAAAAGUGCAGAAGCUUCUAGAGGAGCUUAGAGAUGUCCACACAUCUCUACAUAAGAAUGGAAGGCAGAGGAAGAGUGUGGGGCAUUCUAGAGAAUUCCAGAGUACUCUUUUACAUAUGAUGUAUAUAGCCUUUGUAUAUAGAAUUCUAGGAUAGAGUGAAACCUUUGUGGAUUCCAAAUAGUUCUACAGGUGCCUAUAUAUAGGAGGUGGCCUCAUUUGGCCAAGGCACCAAACAAGUUGAGAGCUUCUAGCCUUGUAAAGCAUUUUUUUUGCAAUACAAAACUUUCUUUCUUAAGUGUUGCCUAUGUUGUGCAUUCCAACUUCUAAGUCAUGUGCAUUACUUAGCCUACGUUGAUUCUCUCACGAAAGUUUUUAAUAAUAUCUUGAUUUUUUAAAAAGAAUAAAAAAACUUGCUCAAGUUCAAAGCAUUCUCAAUCAUUUCCCAUGUCAACCACGAUGGAGAUCACAACAUUGUGAUCAAAAGUGAACUUAAAAUAGUUAGAACAUUUUUACUUCUUUUAUAUAUCUUUUUUUAUAUGCAUUAGGACAUUUUUAUUAAAAUUCAACAGCCUUUAACACAUCAUGAUUUUGAAUUAGUUCAAAAAUCACACAAUAGGUUUAAGACAACCACUAGAGAGAAGUCCAAAUCAAGCUCCAUAUGAAUUCAUUGGCAAUGAUGCACAGUUAGGUUGUAUAACAAAACGAAAUUUUGAAAGAUGUGGUGGGAAUCUGAAUGAUAAAGCUUUGAACAAAAGCAGGGGAACCUUGUAAGUUGCUUAUCCUCAUAUUCAUCUUCUUUCUAGAAUCAAAAUGCUACUACAAAUAACAUUUGCCUUAACUGCUCUCUUAGAAUUAUAUGUAAUCAUUAACUUCUUUAACAGAUUCAAAGUUGGGGACCUCUUGAAUAUAAUCGAUUGUCCAGGAGCUUACUUUCUCAUUUACUUAUACAAAUUUCUACUGAUUUGGUCAAUUGCUAAUGUGAUGAGGACUUCAAAAGCAGUCCCCCAAAAUUGAAGAGCUAACAUGAACAAAACCUCAUAAAAAGCAUGAGGUCAUGACAUGUGACAAGCCGACAAAAGCAAAACUUGACUUCCCUUCAAGAACAGCCAUAGUGGAAUUCCAUUCAUUCAAGUCAUGGACAUAGAUGUAAACAAACUGGUCUAUCAAAAUAAAGAAUAAGAAGAUGUCAACAAACUGACAUGUCUUUGUUUCGCCAACUAAUUCCUUUACUUAAAAAUUAUCUUAAUAUUAGAAAUUAUACUUGACAAGAAACUGUUAAUUAUUUCUCAUGAUAUUUGCCUCCUUCAGUCCAUAUCAGGAUAAUUAGAGUAUCAUAUAUUCUCAUCUUCUUUUGAUUCAAUCCUUUGUGGUUAGAAUGAUAAAACAAGGAGAAGAGAACUUUCUGGGCUUGAGUUAGUUCCAAACAUGGUUAUUUGGGAUGCUCAAGCUUGUUCUUUUCUCAUCCUCCACAAUGCCAACAUACACAUACACUCCGACCAUUAGAUUUCGAGGCACCAACUUCCCUCAGGAUGGAAGGUGUUUAUUGGUCAACAUUCCAGGAUAAAACACAGCAUUUUUGAAUUAGAAAAAUAAUAUCAUGACCACUUGUAAACACCACAUCCAGCAAUAGCAUUGUCCAUCACUUUUGUUUGUAAUGGAUUUGCCAAAGGAGUGUCUCUUCAUUUAUUUGCUCAAAACUGGUUAGCAUAUUCUUAAAGUAACAUAUUCUGGGUAGUGGAGCAGCAAUGUUCAGAAUAAAACUAAAUAGCGCAUUUUUUCCCUUAGAUAUAGAUAACAACCGCAUAUAAGUAACGCAAUGCCUCUUUAAAGCUUUGUUCCAUCCACACCUUUCCUAUACAAGGAAACAUACUAGCAACUAUUUUUCCACAUUCACCCUUGAGAUUUCUUAGAUGUGGGCAAGGAAUGAAUUAGAAAAAUACCAACAAAAAGGAGCAAGAAAACAGCCACUGCAAUACUCAACAUUCAAAAUAAUCAGUUUGUACAAAGUAACCAGGGAGAAUCUGACGACAGUAACAGUACAUGAAAGGUAACAAUCAAAAACAUUAUAGACUACUAAUAGAGUUAAUGCUGAAUCUUUCCAAUGAAAUUAAGGAUAAAUAACUGUUUCAAAGGAUUAGGGUCCAAAUGAUUCAACUUGAGACUUCUGACGGCAACAUCCUCUAUAUGACAUUUCAUAACGCUGAUAGCAAGGUCAUUACAUAAUCAUCAUAAUCAAUUACCUUGCAUUUGAAGAAACUUUUUAGUUGGCAAGAACAAACAUUACUUUUCAACCUCCUACAAGGAAUUGGAAUCUUAUCACUCCAAUAUCAGUUUUCCCCAUCACACUCUUUUCUACCAAAAAAAAAAGAAAGAUGCUUUAUUCAUAAGGAACAAAAAAUCUCCUUGUGAAUUUCAGAACCAAGAAGUCCUGAGACAGUUUGUAGCCACUAGACGGCUAGUCUAGACUACAGAAGAGCAGCAUGUUUUAGUUACAGUUUUAUCUAAGGUCCCUACCCAUAAGUCUAAAUCUUCAAACAGGUAGAGGAAAACUAGCACAUAACUUCCCUAAUUUUUUGUCUUUUUAUUUUUUUCUACUGGUCAUGGAUCUGUUAAUGGCAGAAACUAACUUGUAUCUUGUCACAGUGGUUUCCUCUAGAUUUUCAUGCUCUCGACCUCUUAUUAGCCAUAAAUUGCAUCUUAUUGGGAUGAUAUUUUUGUUCAGUUCAUCUAAUAAGGUUUCAAUGAGUGGUAACAACUCAAGUAAAAUUUGCCACCUCUUUUUAUUAUAAGGCUUGUAAGCUAUAAUUUCCUUGUUUUCAAAAAUGUAUGCAUUUAUAUAUGUAUAUAUUUUGAAGGAUACGGGAUGAAGAUACACCUCGAAUGCUUUUCCUAUUUGUAUCUUCUGC
rnacentral:lncRNA from 1 species